UUUCCGUAGGUGAACCUGCGGAAGGAUCAUUAUUGUAUAACCGAGGUGCGAGGGCUGUCGCUGACCCGAAAGGUCGUGCACGCCCGAGUGCCCUCACACACAUCCAUCUCACCCCUAUGUGCACCACCGCGUGGGUCCCCCUUUGGCUUGUUCGGAGGGGGGCUUACGUUUUCACACGAACUUUGUAUGCAGUGUAGAAUGUAUUUUUUGUUUUUGCGAUCACGCAAUCAAUACAACUUUCAACAACGGAUCUCUUGGCUCUCGCAUCGAAGAAGAACGCAGC
rnacentral:misc_RNA from 1 species